GUUUAAACUCAAUUUCUUAUCAAUAUCCAAAAAUUGCACCACCAAAGAAAUCAAUGCAAAAAAAUAAUAGCACAAAAGAAAUCAAUCUAUUAGAAUUAGAAGACAUAAAUAUAUAGCAAUAGAUGGAAGCCAUACGCUUUCUUGACAAUAACACAAUAGAAAGCAACAUUAGCUGUUCAAUAAUAAUCCGCAGGACAUAAACAACACGAGGGAUAACAGUUGAUUAAAACCCUAAACGAAAAAUUAAAUUUUUUUCGUUAUAAAUAUAAAAAGGAAAACCUCCUCAUACCACCUCUUUCACCUGCUUGGGCAUGGAAUCAGCUUCAGGGAUCUUAACAUAACCCAUCUUCUUAGGGCUAACAUCAUCCUCUUCAUCUCCAUCCUCGCUAUCAAAUUCCUCGUAGCGAUAAUCGUAACGAGUAGAGAAGAGGGACCAGACCAAGUACAUGGUAGCGGCGGUAAGAGCGCCACAACCAACCCCAAAAAGCAAGGCGACGACGACACUGAGAAUGUCCUUGGUGCGAUCGCGGAGAGAACUCAUGUCAUAGGAGGAAAGCCCAAAAGGCAAGUCAGGGCCUGCCUGCCGCCGUUGGAUACCUUUGGGCUCAGAAGCAUCAACAGCGGGGAAAACCCGGCGAUCGAGGAAGAUCUCAGAUGAGGAGUGUUGUUGGGUGAUUUCGGUGACGAUGGUGACGAAUCCGGAGGAGGAAGGGCGGUCAGAGUUAGGGUUAGGGUAAAGAGGCUUGAUGGAAAAGGAGUAGGAGGAGAUGAAGAGGGUUUUGCAGGGUCUAGCGGAGGCAGAGAAGGAGAGAAAAGCAGCAAGAAUUGAGAAGAGAAGAAGAAGGUUUGUAUUUGGUAAAGCCAUUGAAAAGGAGAAGAAUGCCAGACCAGAGCUGUUAUCGGAGAAACCUGAGCAAUAAAAGAUGACGUCGUGGACUUCGCCAGUCGGAGAAAUAUU
rnacentral:misc_RNA from 1 species